rnacentral:lncRNA from 1 species
CUCGUCUUAAUCAAGGAAUCCUGACUUAACCUUAUUCUUUCUCACAGACACAGUUCAAUGCUGCAAUGGAGCCUGUGGUGAGCACUGAUUCAAUAGGUGGUUUGCCUCCUUAGACGCAGAAUCACAGGACUAGAAGGAGUGAAAACAACACUUUAUCUCUACAUUGGCUUCAGGGAGGACAGUGCCCAAACCACCUCAAGUACAGAAUAAUUUACUCUCAUUUAGAAGAUCUCCAGACAGAGCUCGAAUGGCUCCCUUGGCAACAAAUUUUAGUUUUAACAAUCUUUGUAGCUUUAUCCUUCCCUCCAGAUAAUGCCAUAACUGUGUACUCUAGAUUAAACGUUUUCUCCUUUUCUGCCCACAGUGCUUUUGAAGCCAAACAUGAUUUCACAUAUAGUGUUGGGUCAUCAUUAAGUCACCUUUCAGAAGUCCCUCUAAAUUAAGGAGUCCUCAUCCUUUCCUUAAAUUUUUCAUGUGUCCUGACCUAUGAGAAUCUGUUAUACGCAUGUUUAAUUUCUAUGGAAUACCUCAUCAUACAACUUGAAAUUCUGAUUGACUAGUGGUUUUUUUCCUGCAUAAGUGCUACUUCAUCUAUGCCUCAGUAACAAACAACAACAAUCACUUAAUGGAAAUGGUGGCAGGCAGAAUUCUAAGAUAGCUGCCAGAUUCCUGCCGCCCCUGGUGUGCAUUCCUUGAUAAUCACUCUCCUUUGAGUGCAGGCAGACCUGUGUGUAUGAUACCACUGCUAUGAUUACAUUGCUCAUCAGGCGACUGUGAGCUAGCCAAAAUGGAGAAUAUUCUGGUGGGUCUGACCUAGCCAGGUGAGCCCGUUUCUGAGUCAUAGAGAUUGAAAGUGUGAGAGGGAUUUGAUGUGAGGGGGAAUUCUCUGUUGCUGGUUUUGAGUAUAAAAGGGGCCAUAUAAUAAAGACUUGAGAGUGGUCACUAGUUGCUGAGAUCCAUCCCUAAUUGAAGCUAGCAAGAAACACUUCUACCAACAACUUGAAGGAAUUUGGAAAAGAAUCCUUCCCUAGUCAAGUCUCUAGAGGGGAAUGCAGCUAACUGACACCUUGAUUUCAGCCUCGUGAGACCCUGAACAGAGAUAUCAACCACUCAGUUGCCUGGACCUCUGACAGAAAUGAAAGAUAAUAAAUGUCUGUUGUUUUAAGCCACUAAGUUUAUGGAAAUUUGUUACACAGCAAUGGAAAACCAAUAUAGGCCCCUAUCCAUGAGUUACAUUGUAGUAAACACCUUUCCUACAUUAUAGAUAUCUCAUCUAACUCCUACAGCAACCCUUGAGGUAAUCACUGUGUCCAUUGUCAGAGCAAGAAAACUGAAGCUCGGCUUCAUAAACAGAAGCAGCAAGGAUUGAUUCCUUAAAUACUGUGAAUUCCACUCUCACUUUAUUUGAAUUUGUGACAGUGAAAUUCACAGUAUUCUUUAAACAUUUUACCCCCAAGCGAUGCUCUUUCCUCUGAAUUGCUUUGCCUGUCCUAAUAAUUUUAUUUAUACAGGCUGAUGCUGGUGACUUGGGAAUAGUAUUUUUAUCCAAACCAUUUGGCUUCUUAUAGGUAUGAGCCACUGAGGGAGCUAUUUUUUAUUUAAUUGUGCUUUGGAAAAAUCAAACGUAGCCUUGAGUUUUAAAAUUAUUAAGCUUACACUUUUUCACAAAAUAGAAAUGGAGUAAUAUAGCUCUGUCCUUCCGUUUUUUAAAGCCAAAAAAUGUAAGAAUGGAAUGUACUGGCUCACUGCUCCCACGGUGUCCUUACCAGCACAACUUACCCCAUCCCUCCCUAGCCCACUCUUGAGGAUACUUUCUUGCCACUGUCAGGCUUACUCCUGCCUCCUAGACUGAGGAAAGAAAAGCCUCCUGGUUUGGAGCUCAUAAUCAAGUCAGCCUUGCUGCAGGGCUCAUUUUAAGCCAGUAUCCUGGACCAGAUAAGGAAGCUGAAGCUUUGAGAAUUUAAUUUGCUCAAGGGGAGGCCAGGACAAGAAAUAAUGAAGAGUCCGAUGUGGCAGGAAUGUAGGAAACAAGUCAAUGAUGGAAGAUAAAUAUGGAGACGUGAUGAAGGCAAAAUUCUGAAGGGUCUUAGAGCCCAUUAUAAGACGUUUGGUUUUUAUGGUUAGUGAGAAGGAAAACCAUUGGGGGUGGUUGGGCAGAAGAGUAAUAUGACUUGACUUAUAUUAAAAAAAUAAUUUGGUGGCUAGGUUGAGAAUAUAUGUAAGCAGGAGUGGGGUUGGGGGUGAGUGGCUGGGGCUGUUUAUAUCAAGGGUGGAUCCAGGCAGACCAGGCAGGAAGGCAUUGCAAUAAUCCAAGCAAAGGGAGAGGGUGUCUUGGUCACUAAACUGAUGCCAGAUAUGAAUUAGCUAUACUAGAAGAUAGUGAGAGAUGGUACAUAAAAUCAUACACAUUUAUUGCAACUGUAUGUAUUCCUUAAUUACAAUUUACUACAUAUAGACUAAUCUAGAUGAGCGCUUUCUAGGUACUCUUUAGUAAAUUCAUAGUCAACUCAUAAUAAUGAAUAUGGUGGUCAUUUUUUACAAAGCAACUUCCUGUGCAUUACUUUGAAAACAAUCCAAUAAGGUAUAUGUGGCAAAUACUACUCCUGCAAUUUAACAUGAAAAAAACAGACUUGGUGAACUUAGAGCUUGGCUUACCAGUAUAAUAUCAACUAUACGUCCUUUCUCCACUGAACUCAACUUCCUAACUAAGCUUGUGCCAAGGGGCAUUUCAAGAUAAAAAUGAAAAAAGAGGCUACAUCUUCCAGGAUAAAGACUUUGGUCUGAAAGUAACAUGUGCAUUAAAAGUUCAACUUUGAUAAAAGUUACAAAUCACUAUACAGAAGACCUAUUAAAUGAAAUAGACCCCAAAUAAACACAACAAAGGCUUUUCUUUUGUAAGAUGAUUUUAAGUUAAAAUACUGAAGAACCUUUUGAGAAAGUGCUCAGAACAUUUCCUCUGCUCACUGCAGCUGCAAGAAUCAGCACAAACAUCCACAUCCUAUUAGCUUUGAUUUCCAACUCAUGGAAACCCAACCUGUCGGUUUUUCUCUUUUUUCCCAAUACAUAGUGACAUUAACUCAGCCUUUUCUUCAGAAGUCUUCUUUUCUUGGCUGUUAAAUAGAUUAUCACCUCUCUCAUGACAAGGCCAAGAAUCAGGUGAGGCACUCAUCUUGAGCACAAAAUUUAAGGGGGAAAAACUCAAUGAUCAAGACAAUAUUUUAAUGUGAUUUUUAAAAAACCAAAAUCCAUAGAAGAAUAUCACAGGCUAGGCGUGCUUGCUCCUGCCUGUAAUCCCAGCACUUUGGGAGGCUGAGGUGGGCGGAUCACUUUAGGUCAGGAGUUCAAGACCAGCCUGGCCAACACGGCAAAACCCCCAUAUUUAAUAAAUAUACAAAAAUUAGCUGGGUGUGGUGGCAUGCACCUGUAAUCCCAGCUACUCGGGAGGCUGAGGCAGUAGAAUGGCUUGAACCUGAGAGGCGGAGCUUGCAGUGAGCUGAAAUCAGGUCACUGCACUCCAGCCUGGGCAACAGAGUGAAAGUGUGUCAAGAAAGAAAGAAAGAAAGAAGGAAGGAAGGAAGGAAAGAAAGAAAGGGAAAGAGAAAGAAAGAAGAAAGAAAGAGAAAGAAAAAGGAAGAAAGAAGAAAGAAAGAGAAAGAAAAAGAAAGAAAGAGAAAGAAAAAAGAAAGAAGGAAAGAAAGAGAGAGAGGGAGGGAAGGAGGGAAGGAGGGAGGGAGGAAGGAAGGGAGGAAGGGAGGGAGGGCGGAAGGAAGGAAGGGAGGAAGGAGUCACAAUUUUAAAGACAGUGUCAGUGUUACUGAAUAACCUUUUGCCUCAAGUUCCAAUAGGGCUGAGUACAACACUGGAAAGUGAUAUUUCCUUCUGAUGUUUUAUGUUUCAAUAUUCUUUCUGCAUGUAUAUUCAGUAGACGCUAUAGGUAGUUUAUCUCAGGUGAGGCUGAAAUAUAAAGAGAAUAAGAAUGGAGAUAGGGCAAAUCUUGUGUCUUACAGAAUAUAUUGGCCACUCCAUGUUUUUCCUUUAAUAUGUUACAAUUCUCUAAAGCAUCACAAAAUGAAACCUGUCAUCAUCUUAAUCUCUGUUACACAGAGCAAACACCAAGCAGGCAUGACCACGCCCUCCCUACACUGGUAGUUGAGAUGCUGCAAUGCAGCAUAUUAAAAAAUAGUGCUGACUUGUAUGGCACCACUUUGCUUAUGCUCUGAAUGCUGGAAGUAAAUGCUGACUAUCUGGAGAUAAUAAUAAUAUGACUUUUGAAUAAGCAAGGCACAAACAGCAAUUAUACAGUUAACACAAGCUAUGACUGUCAAGCAAUUGUUAUGCUUAGCACAAUUGCUUGAACCAUUAAUUAGAGUACAGCAUUUCCUCUUGAGAUAAUGCUGAUUAAAAUGUACAUACACUCUUCUGGAAGAUAACUUCAGGGUUGACGUGAAAACAGCAAAGACAGAUUUCAAAUAAAUACCUUUGCAACAAAGGUAUUUUGUACAGAGGGGAAUGCUUGUCUCCCUGCCCUGUUGAGAGCUGAUUAUCACAGGGUCAUUUUGUGGUUGGCUGGGCAAGUUUUCCAGAAAGAUAAAAGAGAUGAAGAAUGAGGAUAGGAGUCAACUAAAUUCUUAGCAGCUAACAAACAAUUUUCUUUGGAGUUGACUUUCUCUUUAAUCUUUUGUAAUUGCAGAUACAUAAUUCAAUGUGCUUUUAUAAAAUAUACAUGCCAUUUUCCCUGUAAACAGGUAUGAGAGCUGACCUCAGCAAUUAGCAAAAUCCUCAUACACACUGAUUUAACCGACCCAGUGUGCAUCCAGAAACCACUGCAGCAUGAGUUUGCGGGGACUUUGGGGUCUUUAAAUACUCAUUAAACAUUACAACUAGCUAGGACUCUUUUGGGGGACCAAUGGAGGCGCUUUGCUGAGCUGCUCCCUGAUGUUGUAAAAUGCAAAAAGUGAGUAAGCAGUCACAGUGCACCCUGCUUCCUUAUAGUAUAGGGCCUCGCCCUUCAAACUGUCAUCUGAGGACCAGCAGUAUCAACAUCCCCACAGAGCUUGUUAGAACUGCAGACUUGCAGGCCCUACUCUAGAUCUAUUGCAUCACAAUUUGCAUUUUAACUAGAUCUCCAUGUAAUUAUUAUGCACAUUAUAGUUCAAGAAGUACUGGCCUAAGAACAUUUUGCUCACAAAUCUGGGCUUAGAAAGCCAUCCUUGUGACUGGAGGAAAAUAUCGAAAGAGUGACAUGAUCUGAAACUGGAAACAAAUGCAAAGCAGGUGUGAGCCAUUAGAAAUGCAGCAGCCCUUCAGCUCGGCAAGGAGAUUACAAGGCUGUAUAGUUAAUGGGUAGGUAACUUAGUAAAUAGGAGACUUUGUUGUAGAUAAAAUCAUUGUUAGGUAUUUGGAAAUUAUGAGGAAUAAUAUAUAUAAUGCCCUAGGGGUGAGUAGGGGUGAUUGCUGGAAGUCUCUUACAGACUGAGCAGGUAAGAAGAAGAAAGGAGAAGAAACCUUCUUCUGGUUUUUGUGUUUGUGGCUGCAGACUAUGCCGUGCAAGACUUGGUAAACUGGUCCCUACCGCAGAGGAUUUUAUACAGAGCACGCUAGUGGCUCACAGGUAGUGUCUUAUUGAAUGUUGAAUUUCCACACUUUUGACUGCAUGAAUCAGUAAAUACUUGGGUUUAUUUUGCCACAUAGAGGUCUACAUUGGUUUGAUACAAGUAAAUAGCAAUAAUGAUAAGAGUCACUGCCAUUAAUGGAGUGUCUCCUUGAUACCAGACACUGUCUCAGAUAACUUGAAUUAACUCUUUAAACCCACAUGGCCCUGGUCCUGAAAGGUGGUAUUAUUCAUUUUUAUAGAUGAGGAAACUGAGACACAGGCAACACUACUUCAACAUUGGCCCCAAACCAUUUUUAUUUGCCCUGAGUAAUUUGCUAGUUCUCCUCUUUCAGUAUGCCAGUCUUCUCUAUCCAUUGGUCUAUAGUUGGUUGCAAUUCGUCUUUGUCACCUGUUCCUGACACUGACCAAUUACUGACCAUAUCUCCCUAUUCUCUGCCAUGUGAUAACCUUUGGUUCUCCCAAAUAAACUCUUUCCUUAUCUCUACUCUAUUGAAACCAACCACCCCUCUCUCCACACAGAAUAUUUCACUGAUUGCCUUGCCCGCUUCUCAAAGGCCCACUUCUCUGUGGAAUGAUGCAGUUGCUAAGAAGAGCUGUUAAUGUCAUGACCUCAAUGAAUAAAAAAGACUUCCUUUUCUCCAUGCCCACUCAAGUAAAAGGCUUCUCUCUGAACUCCUGCUAAUUUUUCAUCAGCAAAGGUGCACAGCCUUUUGGAAGUGAAAUGAUUACUAGUGAAGAAAAAGAAAGAACCUAACACUUAUUUUACAAGCCUCCCAGUGACCACUCUUCAGACAAAACUUCUUAUAAUAGCUUCCUUCCCUGAAUCUUUUGCGAAACAUCAAAUCACAAAGAGAUCUUAUUGUGAGUAUUACCUAAAAUUUUUUCCUGUCUUAUGUAGCAAAGAGGGAAGUCACUGAGUCAGCUUAGAUAUGUGUAUGUGUUCUAAAAAAAAUGAAUGUAUCCAUGUGACUUUUUUUUCUUUUUUUUUUUUUUUUGAGAUGGAGUUUUGCUCUGUCACCCAGGCUGGAGUGCAGUGGCGUGAUCUCUGCUCACUGCAACCUCCACCUCCUGGGUUCAAGUGAUUCUCCUGCCUCAGCUUCCCGAGUAGCCUGCCACCACACGUGGUUAAUUUUGUAUUUUUAGUAGAAAUGGGUUUUCACCAUGUUAGCCAGGCUCGUCUCAAAUUUCUAACCUUCAGUGAUCUGCCUACCUUGGCCUCCCAAAGAGCUGGGAUUACAGGAAUGAGCCACCGCACCUGGCCCCAUGUGACUUUAAUAUUUUACUGCAUAUCUUCCUCGGCAAAUAACUAAAUCCUGUCAUGUGGGAGGGAGUUUGGAAAUAGUGCUUAGGAACCACCCACUAUCUCAUUUGUGAAGUCCGUUGCCACUUGCGGGGGGCGCCAGGCAAUGACAUCAACAGACUUAUCUGGUUAUGUCUUUGAGCCUUGGAUCCUUGUAAUUGUUUUGCUUGAUAAAGCUAUCUUUUGUUAUAAAAGACUUUGCCAAAAAAAAGUCUUUGGCUUAAGGCAUUUAAAUAAUGCAAGCUUCAAAGUUAGUGAACAGAUUAUGAAAAAUGUCUGAAUAGUAAUUUGGAAGGCAAUUUGCACAUAUAUUUCUAUCUGGAAGAAUAAUAGUUUGUAAACGAAAUACAUCUUAGGCCAUAAUUAUAAGUGUCAGAACAUGAAAGGAUUGGUGAAUUGGAGAAACAGAAAUUAAAAAUAAAACUUAAAAAAAUAAGUCAGAAUAUCAUAAUGGUACAAAAUAAAUGAGACAAUAGAAACAUAGACAUUUCCCUAAUUCAUAAUGUAGUUAUUUGUUCUGGAGAUUUGUUCAUUAUUGUAAAAACUAGCUACAUUUAAUCGUUUUAAUUGUUGUUAUGAAAAUACUUUGCUUCAUUUAUUUUAAAUAUAUCCUACUAAAAAAAGAGUAUAUAUAAAAACACAUGUACAAUUUAGAACAUAACGUUAAAACAAACACUUACGUAUUUUCCAACCAGCAAAAGGAAAAGAACCUUAAUGGUGAUCUUGUGUAUUUGUGUCCAGAUGCGUUUUUCUCCCUUUACCUGGGGUAACAAUCAUUGCAUAUUUUGUGUUUAUCAAUUCUUUCCUUUAGAAAUGCUUAUCCAUUUGUGUAUUUAUGCCUAAACAAUAGAUGGUUUCAUUUCGCUUGUUUUGAGCUUUAUUAUAUUUGUUUGUAGUCACCAUGGAUGUAACCUUUUUCCACGCAAAAUUAGCUUUCUAAGAAUCAUCCAUGUUGGUGGAUAUAGCUCUGUGAUAUUCCAUCAUGUGAUACUGCAAGUUAUAACUCUAGUUAUAUAUCUAUUUUCCAAUCAAUGAAUAUUUACAUUGAUCCAAAUUUUCAUUAUUAUGCACAGUCUGGCAAGGAAGACUCAUAUAUGACUCCUGGUACAUGGGUACAAGGAUUCUAUAGGCUAUAUACCUAAUCGUGGAAUUGUUGAGUCUCAGAGUAUUCAAAUGUUCAACUUGACACAUUAUCAUGAAACUGUUCUCCAGAGUGGCUUUCCAAUUUACUCUUCCACCAAAAAUGUGUUCCUAUUGAUCUACAUCUUCUCUAGAACAUCUUAUUUUAGGUAAUUUAAUUUUUUCAUUGUUAUGAAAUGGUAUCUCACUGUCUUAUGCAUUUCUCUGGUUAAUAAUGAGAUUGGUCAUAAAUUCAUAUGUUCAUUGUGAAAUGUCUAUUCUUUUGUUGCCCAUUUCAUCUAUUGGGAUGGCUAUCUUCUAACCGAUUUUACAUAGUUCUAGUGGUUGUUUAUGCAUUCUGGAAACCGGUUCUUUAUUAAUCAUAGGUGUGGCAUUAUGGUUCACAUUGUUACUCUCUUGCUAUACUGUGAUGAACAGAAGUUUUUCAUUUUCAUGAAGUAGACUUAUCAACAUUUUCUUAUGUUUUAGAUGUUUAUUUAGAAACCCUUCUCUACAAACAUUCUAAUAUUUUCUUUUAAAAGUUUUGAAGUUUUGACUUUUACAUUUAAAUUAUUAAUCAAAUUAGAAUUAUCUUCCAUAUACAUGUGAGUCCUCAAUUCUUGCUCCAUUAAACAAUUUAUCCUUCCUCGCAUCAGUAUCUUCCCACCUUAAUUGCUAUUGGAUUAUAAUAACUCUUGAUAUUUGGUGUGCCAAAUUCCCCCAACAUAUUAAUCCUUUCGGAUAUUCUAUUCUCAGCCCUUUAUUUUUCCAUAUGAAACUCAGAAUCAUGAAGUUUAUUUAAAAUUCUGCUAGGAUUUUGAUAAAAAUUUCCAUAAAAAACUUUUCAGUUUGACAUUGUUAGGACUGAGUUUUCUUAUCCAUGAAUGUGAAAUAUCUGUGUUAUUUUAUCUGCAAAAUAAAGAUAAAGAAAUAUCUUUAUUAUUGUUUAAUGUUUUUAUGAAAAGUUCAUGAUUUUUUAUCUAGAGGUAUCACACAUCUUUUUUUAGAUAUAUUCUAGGAUACUUUUUAGUUUUGUUGCUUUUGUAAGUGUUGUCAUGUUGGGAGUCUCUGAGAACCUCCUCAAGCUUGAUGACCCACUAGAAGGACUCUCAGGACUUAGAAGUGGUUAUAUUGAUGGUCACAGUUUAUUAUAACAAAAAGACACAGAUAACAAUAAACAAAGAGAAAAGGCACAUGGGGUGAAGUUCAGGAGAAAUAAGGCACAAGCCUUCAGGUAUUCCCCUCCCAGGAGUAAAUAUGCUAACUGAAGCACACAAAAAAAGAAAAGAUAAAUGCAAAAAAGAGCAUAAAAUAUAUAUGACAUAGUUUUAAAAAUGUGUAACAUGCAUGUAAUUGAAGUAUCAGAAAGAAUGGAGACAAGGAAUAGGGGAAGAAGGAAUAUUUGAAGAGAUAAUAACCAAAAACUUUCUAAAACUAACCCACAAAAUCAAGAAAUUCUGAAGAAACUAGAAAAGAUACAUGCAAAAUAAAUCCCAUUUUGGCUCAUAGUGAACUCCUGAAAGCCAAGGACAAGGACCAAUUACUUAAAGCACCCAAAAAAAAACAACAUUGCUUUCAUAAUAGCAAUAAAAGACUAAUAACUGAAUUUUCUACACAAAUGAUGGAAGCUGGAAGAUAUAAAGAUCAUAAGGAUAUAUUCUAUUCCUGGAAUUGAUGUGCCUUGGUCAUAAUGUCUUUUUUAAAAUACAAAGUUGUAAUCAGGUUUCUAAAUAGUUUAAGAUUUUUGCAUCUAAUUGUUUGGAAAGUUCCCCCUUUUUUAUACUCAUAUCUGCAUUAGCUAUCAAGGCUAAAAAUGACUGCUUUAAAAGAGUUAAGGAAAGUUUCCUCUUUGUUAUACCUAUGAAAAAGUUUAUAUACAAUUAAAAUUUGAUGAUAACAUUUGUUAUAUUUUCUUAUAGAACUAUUUGUAUUUGGUGUUCUAUUUAUGAGGAGGCUUUUAAAAUAUUGAUUUGACUUCUUUAGUAGUUGUAGGGCACUGAAGUUUUCUGGUACUCUAACUGCAGCCCACGUAACUUAUCUUAUAUUCUCAUUAUCAUUUAGUUCUAAGUAUUUUUUUACUUUCUAUUAUAAAGUAUUCUUUGACCUAGGAGGUAUUUAGAAGUUUGCUUUUAAACUGUCAAAUGUAUGAAAUUGUCUUAAUUUUCCUUUUAUUACUAAUAGCUACAUUAUUUUCCUUCUUGUGAGAGAAGGUAGUCUGUGGUACUUUUGGAAAUAUUUAAAGACUUUUUGGCCUAGUAUGUGAUAAAUUUGUGAAAAUGUUCCUUGCAUGUCAAAAAGAAUUAUCCAGAAUUAUCCAAUAAUUGGAUAAAUGUUCUUAAUAUGUUUAUUAGGACAUUCAUGUUCAUUGUGUUUACAAUUUCUAUAACAUUGCUAGUUUUGAUCUGCUUUUCAUGUCAAUACCUGAGAUAGGUCUGUUUAAAUUUCUUACUAUAAUGGUAGAUUUGUUACAAUUUCAUUGUAGCCUGUACAUUUUUGCUUUAUAUAUGCUGAAUAAAUGUUAAUAUGUGCCCAUAUAAGCUUAAACAUUAUAAUUACUUUAUCUUCCUGGAAAAUUGUAAUUUUCAUCAAUAUGUGCUCACCCCCUUUUUAUCUGGUAACUAUUUUGACCUU